rnacentral:tRNA from 1 species
GCGGCCGUAGUCCAGUCUGGUCUAAGACAUCGGCCUGCCACGUCGACGACCCGGGUUCGAAUCCCGGCGGCCGCACCA